CAACACUAGAUUGUGCGUUAAAUAUAUUUACUUAAUUACCUUUUGCAGCUGAAGUAUUCCUCUUGAAAACUGUGCCCGCAGAAUGCUCCUCACAGCAUACACACCAAAAACCAUUUUUUUCUUAUCAGUACCACGAGUUUUAUUUUUAUUCGGCGUAGGCUACUAUUUAUACGCAUUUUCAUGAUAACCCAGGAUUUUUUAGAGUAUAUUUGAGUUUUGCAAGCUCGUGCACUCUUUUUUAUGUAUUCCUAAUAUAAAUUGUAUGAGUGAUAGUUUUGUCCCAAAGCUCUCCUUUCCUCCUCAGAACUGCUGGGCAGUGACUGCAGGGUAGUGCAUUAUUGUUCAAGCUCGUGACGUAGACGAAAGUGAAACUAACCACAGCUCGUGCAUCAGAUCAGUUCAUUUUCAUUUUAAAUUCAAUUAGGAAAUUUUCAAAGUCAUUCAAAAUGAGUUUUCAGUUCAGUUCUACAGAUUUAAAACCUAGCACAGAAAUAAAAGAAUCUGUGGCAACGGCAGAGGAAGAGUUCAAGAACAGCACUGAAGAGACAGACAGAAAGCUCGUUCCUGAAGACGAGGAUUCUGGAGGCUCUGGACAUGUCCUGCCACAGCGGAAACCAGUGUUCGCUGGAGGCUCUGGACAUGUCCUGCCACAGUGGAAACAAAGAUUUUUCUAUUUUGGUGAGAUUAUUACAAUAAACCCUCAUCUUGAAGAUAAAGAUGAGGAUGAAGAAAUGGAAAUGUCCAGGACUCAGUCUAUGGACAACUUGGCUCUGAUGCAGAAGCCUCUCUAGCAGUGAUGUGUUUUGAAGUUCAGUGCAUUUCAGUUCAAUAAUCCACAUCAAUACAUUCAUACUGUGGGUUCAAAUGUAAUAUCAUUCUGGCCAUUCAUAUGUAAAGAUUGUACAAAGCUCUUUCUUUAGCUUACAUUUAUUAAAUGACACAUGCACUUGAAUGUUUUAUUAUUUUGUGAGGAUUUGUUAAUUUGUUAUUUCGGUGGCUGAACAGAUUUUAUUAGCGGGUGUUUGAUUUCAGGUGAAUCAAAGCUUCAUCCGGCAGACCAAGGAUUGAAAAUAAAGCAUCCAUAACCAGUUCCUUAUCAAAGAAAUGACUCUUUCAGAUACAGUCUUGGCACAGUAUAUUUGUAACUGAUUACAUGACCAAAGACAGUGAGUGAGAGAGCACAUCUGUGUCUGUAAACACUUUUAAUCAAACAUUUGUGUAAUUAAGAAUCUCU
ensembl:lncRNA